CAUUCGCCUUGUCAUUUUGCCUAGUUAAAGUGUUUCAAUCCAAGGGAAAAGUUUUAACUCUUCCCCACCGGUUUUAAUGGAAGUUUCCGGCGAGAAAUAAAAAUAGAGAGAGAGAAAUGGGUACAGCAUCUUUUCGGGCAAUUUUUGGCCAAUCCGACCGUCGGAUCGGAAAUCCGAGGCCACCGAUGGACUCAGGAGGACGAGAUCUUCAAGAUAGGACUGGUCCCGCUCCGAUCGGACACUGUUUGAAAAAGGCGAUAAUCGGACGGUCCAGAUCGCUUGGUGCGAUCGGAUCGAGGAUGGCUCACCGGCGCCGGGACCGCAUUUUCAGCCAGAUCCGGCUGCCCGGCAGCCCGUCUCAGAACGUGGUCAAUAUUACAGUCAAUCCUAGCAUUUUCAGACGUUCUGGACGCGUUCCAGGUGUCAGAAUUGGCAUAGGUGAGCCGGGACAGCCUUCUUCCUCCGCCCAGCCGCCUCAGUGACCAUCGUCAAGUCUGCUACAGGAGGAUUUUAUUGUGGUUAACCUGCUUUUAUCCUUCGCAGGUUGUUUAUCCAUAUUUGUGUAAUUUUGUUUACUCCUAGAAUUUCCGCAUGUGUUAGAAGUAUUUAUUUGAUUAUGGUCUGUAAUAUUAUUAUCAUGUUGGACCUGUAAACGUAUAAUGAUAUGCAUGUUUGAUGGA